rnacentral:rRNA from 2 species
ACGACUCUCGGCAACGGAUAUCUCGGCUCACGCAUCGAUGAAGAACGUAGCAAAAUGCGAUACUUGGUGUGAAUUGCAGAAUCCCGUGAACCAUCGAGUUUUUGAACGCAAGUUGCGCCCAAAGCCAUUUGGUUGAGGGCACGUCUGCCUGGGCGUCACG